UACGGAGGGUGCAAGCGUUGUCCGGAAUCACUGGGCGUAAAGGGCGCGUAGGCGGCUCAUGAAGGCUGUGGUGAAAGUCCGGGGCUCAACCUCGGAUCGGCCGUGGCGACUCGUGGGCUGGAGCACUGUAGAGGCGGGUGGAAUUCCGGGUGUAGCGGUGGAAUGCGUAGAGAUCCGGAAGAACACCGGUGGCGAAGGCGGUUCGCUGGGCCGUAGCUGACGCUGAGGCGCGACAGCGUGGGGAGCAAACAGG
rnacentral:rRNA from 1 species